rnacentral:rRNA from 1 species
AAUACGUUCCCGGGCCUUGUACACACCGCCCGUCACGGCAUGGGAGUUGGUUUUACCCGAAGUAGCUAGGCUAACCGCAAGGGGGCCGGUUACCACGGUAGGAUUCGUGACUGGGGUG